rnacentral:rRNA from 1 species
GACGAACGCUGGCGGCAUGCCUAAUACAUGCAAGUCGAGCGAAUGAAGUUCCUUCGGGAACGGAUUUAGCGGCGGACGGGUGAGUAACACGUGGGCAACCUGCCUCAUAGAGGGGAAUAGCCUUCCGAAAGGGAGAUUAAUACCGCAUAAGAUUGUAGUACUGCAUGGUACAGCAAUUAAAGGAGCAAUCCGCUAUGAGAUGAGCCCGCGGCGCAUUAGCUAGUUGGUGAGGUAACGGCUCACCAAGGCGACGAUGCGUAGCCGACCUGAGAGGGUGAUCGGCCACAUUGGGACUGAGACACGGCCCAGACUCCUACGGGAGGCAGCAGUGGGGAAUAUUGCACAAUGGGGGAAACCCUGAUGCAGCAACGCCGCGUGAGUGAUGACGGCCUUCGGGUUGUAAAGCUCUGUCUUCAGGGACGAUAAUGACGGUACCUGAGGAGGAAGCCACGGCUAACUACGUGCCAGCAGCCGCAGUAA